AUUGAACGUUGGCGGCAUGCCUUACACAUGCAAGUCGAACGGCAGCACGGGAGCAAUCCUGGUGGCGAGUGGCGAACGGGUGAGUAAAGUAUCGGAACGUGCCCAGUCGUGGGGGAUAACGUAGCGAAAGUUACGCUAAUACCGCAUACGAUCUAUGGAUGAAAGCGGGGGAUCGCAAGACCUCGCGCGAUUGGAGCGGCCGAUAUCAGAUUAGGUAGUUGGUGGGGUAAAGGCUCACCAAGCCGACGAUCUGUAGCUGGUCUGAGAGGACGACCAGCCACACUGGGACUGAGACACGGCCCAGACUCCUACGGGAGGCAGCAGUGGGGAAUUUUGGACAAUGGGCGAAAGCCUGAUCCACCCAUGCCGCGUGCAGGAUGAAGGCCUUCGGGUUGUAAACUGCUUUUGUACGGAACGGAAAGGUUUGGGCUAAUAAGCUGAGCUCAUGGCGGUACCGUAAGAAUAAGCACCGGCUAACUACGUGCCAGCCGCCGCAGUAA
rnacentral:rRNA from 1 species